rnacentral:rRNA from 4 species
CUGUGAGGCGUUGAGCUAACCAAUACUAAUUGCCCGUGAGGCUUGACCAUAUAACACCCAAGCAAUU